UUACGGCCAUAUCACGUUGAAACACCAGUUCUCAUAAGAUCAUUGAAGUUAAGCAACGUCGACCCUGGUCAGUACCUAAAAGGGUGACUGCGUGGAA